GUGAGCUGUGGGUUUCCAUUCACUUUGACCUGAAUGCAGUGUAACACGAUAUGAGUGUAAGACUGGCUUUCUUACAAAAACACCUUACCUGAGCAACAGUGUUAUUUCUAAAGAGAAAACAUGUUCUACACACUACUCAUUGCUGUAAGUACUGGCGAGGUAACAAGGUCAUAAAAAUCAUCAAAAGAAAAAGAUUUAGGGGUUUUAAUGUCACUGUUCUCCAGUGUUUGUUAGGAAAAUAACUGACUCUUUGUAACAGCUCUCUGCCUUUCUGCAGGGAGGUCUGCAGUCCCUGCUAAGGACCACUCACCAAGAACAGACCUGGAGCAACCAUGAUUUCAUCCUCACUCAAGUUCUGUGUAGAAUUACUGCCCUAUCAUCUGUAAAGAUCUCUGAUAGCCUCAACUGUGUAACAUUUCCAGUUUUAUUUACUGGGGUGUUUUGUUGUGUUUUGUUUGUUUGUUGUUUUAUCCUGUUUGUCAGAUGCUAUUUUGCUCUUAGGCAGCUUCUUGUGUCAACUAUUUUACCCUUUUUUUCUGAAUAGCAAAUCUUUUCCAUACAUUUACUUACUGUCACCAUUUAAAAAUCACUUUUCCCAUUUAGUAUCUCAGGGUACAAUACUCAUGCGUGUCAUAAACGACUGCUUAGUCUGGUGUUCACUCAAUACAGUUAAACUAUUUUUCCAAGAGUAGCUAAGGUAUUGUCCUUUCUUCUCCUUUCAUCCUGACAAGAGCUCUUUCUCUCCCCUCCUCUCUGUAUAUUUGCUAUAAUGCAGCUCCAUAUUCUGCUACAAAAAGAUGGGAGUGAAAGAAAACUCUGUGUUUUCUCCCUUGCUUAAGUUCUUCAAGAAAAAGAGUGGGUAGCCACCUGUGAUCAUUCACAAGGUUCUCCUUCACUUGUGGUAACCUUACAAAAAGAAAAGAGGAGAUACACCAAAAUACAGAGGCUUUCAUGGGCAUUAAGAAACAGGUAGUUUCAUCCCAGACUGCUUUUAAAUACAUAGUUUUCUUGUUUUGUUUUCACACCCAUUAGGCCUGAUUGCCUAGAUUCAUAAAGAAAUCUAAUUCUCUGAAGUAUCCUAAGGGUUUGAAAUAUUGAACUUUAUUAAAUUAGACCUAGAAGGAAAGCAGCCAGUAUCACUUCUGAUAGUGGGAUUACUGAGUCAUUAUGUAUUUUGGACAUUUUUGCAUAACUUUCAGCUAUAAAGGAGUCUGUUUAGAGAACAAGUGGUCAAAAGUAUAGAAGAAAUACAGGUCCAAGACAAUGAACAAAGUUUUCACUACUUUGGAAGGCAUUGUACAGCUGCAGUAUGCCACAAUGUCUUUAAAUAUUGUUCUGAUGCAGUCCUUUGCAGUCCCGAGUAAAUGAUGCUACAGGUAAAUGAUGCUAGCUGUAACAGGCAAUCAAAUUACACAUGGGAAAGCUUGAUGCAGAAUGAAUGUAGAUUCCUCAGUCCUGAUGAACUGCAUUUCAGAGGAUGUUUUAAAAACUGGCCCCAAAUCACUCAUAAGUGGUUGUUGUGAUUGUUGGUAAUAUGCAACAGAAUCUCUGAGUCACAAAACAGCUUGAAAAUUAUUAAGAUCUGAGUAUUACUGAUUUCAGCUAUAGACUGUUUAAAUCUGGACUUUGAUUUGAGUUCAGAAGCUGGGAAGUGGCCCAUGUCUCAGCUGCUCACCCUUCCCAAAGUAUCAACUACAAUAUUGAAGAGGUUUUAGUGUGAUUGACAUCCAGUCCUUCACUGCUGUUAAUGUCCAGCAUGUAUAUGUAUUAUCGUAUUAUUAACCUUAACAUCAAAUCACUAUCAAUUUCUGUCUGUGACUGUAGGACAAACUGUAAAAAGAAGUGAUUCAUAUAUCUGUCCUGCUCAGUCACUUCUGAUGACAACUGCCAGGAGAGGGAUGGGAUAGCUGUGGGUUAAAGCUCAACUAUCUCAGCUAAGUUGGCCAGUGACAACAUGCCUAAGCCUUUUUGUUGUAAAUUUAUUCCACCAGAGCUGUAGGUGUUCACGUGUCUUUCUAGAAGCUCUAGUCAAAGAGAUCGGGAGUUCCCAGAUUCCUCUCUGAAGUGGAGCUGCAGAAACCUGUGGAGCUUGGAAGGAACUUGCUGCAAGCACAGCCAUCCCUUCCUAGCAAUGCUUUAGGGUACGGAUCUGUUGCCCUUCUCUGUUUCCACCUUGUAACUAUUGGACAUGAGAAACUCCACAGGAGUAGGAUGAGCUUCUCUGCUCCCAUGAGAUUUUUCACUCACCGCUUUACAAAAUGUGUGCUUAGCUCUGAAGUGUUCCAGACUGAAUUAAUUACUAAGCAACUUUGGUACCACGCUAUGCACUCCUCUCAGUUGUCUUCCCACACAUGAUGAGUACAACCAAGCUUGUAUCCAGCAGCUCUGAAGAAGCUGAAGAAAUAGAGAGUUUCUGUUUCUGCCCAAAGUGACUGGGGCAAUCAAUCCCAACGUGGGCUCAGCUGGAGGCAUUUUCCUUCACCUCUCUACUUCUGCUAUGGCUAUGUGAGAAAGCAAGGGGGUGAUUUUGCACAGGACCGCAGCUGUUUUUCUCCACAAUAAACAAAAAUCAGAGGCUGAAAUGUGAAGUUUUGUG